UACAGAGGCCCCAAGCGUUGUCCGGAAUCACUGGGCGUAAAGGGCGCGUAGGUGGCGCUCCAAGUCUGUGGUGAAAGCUCGACGCUCAACGUCGAGUCGGCCACGGAGACUGGAGGGCUCGAGCACUGUAGGGGCAGAUGGAAUUCCGGGUGUAGCGGUGGAAUGCGUAGAGAUCCGGAAGAACACCGGUGGCGAAGGCGGUCUGCUGGGCAGUUGCUGACACUGAGGCGCGACAGCGUGGGGAGCAAACAGG
rnacentral:rRNA from 1 species